rnacentral:rRNA from 1 species
UACAGAGGGGGCAAGCGUUGUUCGGAAUUACUGGGCGUAAAGGGCGCGUAGGCGGCCUGCUAAGUCGAACGUGAAAUCCCUGGGCUCAACCCAGGAACUGCGUCCGAUACUGGUUGGCUUGAAUCCGGGAGAGGGAUGUGGAAUUCCAGGUGUAGCGGUGAAAUGCGUAGAUAUCAGGAAGAACACCCGUGGCGAAGGCGGCUCUCUGGGACGGUACUGACGCUGAGACGCGAAAGCGUGGGGAGCGAACAGG